UACGUAGGGUGCGAGCGUUAAUCGGAAUUACUGGGCGUAAAGGGUGCGCAGGCGGCGUCGCAAGUCAGGCGUGAAAUCCCCGGGCUUAACCUGGGAACUGCACUUGAAACUACGAUGCUGGAGUAUGGCAGAGGGAGGUGGAAUUCCACGUGUAGCGGUGAAAUGCGUAGAGAUGUGGAGGAACACCGAUGGCGAAGGCAGCCCCCUGGGAUAACACUGACGCUCAUGCACGAAAGCGUGGGGAGCAAACAGG
rnacentral:rRNA from 1 species